rnacentral:lncRNA from 1 species
ACAUCCUGUUCACCUUGUGACGACCUCAUCAUCACCCAACCUGGAUGUCUCUGUUCAUGGCUGAGAAUCACAGCAAACCCCCAGCUUUUGGAGUGAGGGGGCGAUUCAAAGAAAAUACGCAGUGGCUUCACAUCCACAUGGUGUCCCGGUCUCAACAGCAAACGCAGGCAGAGCGGGCUAUGUCCCCGGCUACCUCACCAUCGCUCAGACACCACUGCUGGUGAUUUCGUGCAGGAAGCAACACAGAGGAUACGUUAACAUGGGGGAGGGCCUCUGGGAGGAACAGACUCCUCCCUGCAGGAUGAGUGCCCGCAGCUCAGACCACAGCUGGCCUCUGGCAG